rnacentral:rRNA from 1 species
UACGUAGGGUGCGAGCGUUGUCCGGAAUUAUUGGGCGUAAAGAGCUCGUAGGCGGCUUGUCGCGUCGGAUGUGAAAGCCCGGGGCUUAACUCCGGGUCUGCAUUCGAUACGGGCAGGCUAGAGUUCGGUAGGGGAGAUCGGAAUUCCUGGUGUAGCGGUGAAAUGCGCAGAUAUCAGGAGGAACACCGGUGGCGAAGGCGGAUCUCUGGGCCUGUACUGACGCUGAGGAGCGAAAGCGUGGGGAGCGAACAGG